AUAAUCAGGCUGCCCAGCUUGUUGGCUUGGACAUGGCUCCUCUCCACUUAGGAGGCUCUGCCCACUCACAUUCCAGGCCUCAGCUUGCCAUGUUUUCCUGUUAAGCCCAGAACCCUUCCCCUGGGUCCCUUCCUCAGAGGGGACAUGUUGGGAGCCACAGUCUCAGAGAUACUUGGGAUUUUAAACAUGAUGCAACUCUAGGGCUGACUUUGGAAUUCUGUGGGCUGUGCUUGGCCCAGAUCCCACCUUUGGGCCACUUUUGCUGCUGCUAUUAUUUUUAGUUGGUGGGGCAAUCAUUGUGUGCCUUUGUACAGUUUUCAUUUGGGAAGCCUUAGAGCUCUUUAACUCCACUCCAUUCUAUCACAUCCUUGUUUAGCAAUGAUCAUCCUUUUGCAUUACAAACUAGAAAAGCAACUCCGUAAGACUAACAAACUCUCUUCAACCAAGUAAAGGAGACUCCUUGUGGAGGGGAGCCCCUGCCCGCUCACCUGGAUGACCAUGCCUCACCUCUGCCGAUCACAUGCAAAUAUUUGUCCUGUUCUGAGACAUCCUCCUGGGUCCCAGCUUCUUCUCUUGAAGAUACAGAUUUCCAGUGCACCAUCAGAAGCCGAAGUAACUGUGAGUGGGAGGCAUUGGAGCCGGCUGGGAGGAACAUGUCUGGCCUGAUUUGAAGCUGCUACAUCUACUUUGAAAGAAGCCACAUAACCUUUGCUGCUACUUCAUUUCAAGUUUUCCUUUGAAUUUUCUAUUUCCUGAGCUGGGAGAAAUGAGAGGAUGCACCCUCUCCCUUUCUAACAGGCCCUUCUCACUUGCUCUGAUGAGUCUGGCUCUCAAGUGAGCUGCCCUGAUGGAGAGGCCCGCAUGUCCAGAAUGAAGCAUACCUUCUGCCAACAGCCAUCAAGGAACUGAAUCCUUCCUACAACCACGUGGGCAACAUUCGAAGGAAAUCCCCCCCUAGCCAAGCUUUGAGAUGACUACAGCCCCAGUGUACACCUCCAUUGCAGUUUUAUAAAAGACCUGAGACAGAGGACCCAGCUAAGCCAUGGGCCAGCCAGGAUUUCCUGACCUAUAAUAACUGUGAAAUAGAAUAAUAAAUGUUGUUGUUGUAAGUCACUACUUUUCUGACUAAUUUGACAUGCAGCAAUAGAUAACUAAUUUCAGGAACAAGGACAAAGAGUAAGAACUAAUCAUGGCCCACCUGAACCAUUCACGUACUAAGCAGAGACAGUCAGAAGAACAAGUAUUGACAUCCUGCCCCUGUCCCCCUCUACAGGUAGAAAUAAAAUUUUCCUGAUUCCCAGUACUUUGGGAGGCUGAGACAGGCAGAUUACCUGAGGUCAGGAGUUCGGGACCAGCCUGACCAAUACGGUUAUACUUUGUCUCUACUAAAAAUACAAAAAUUAGCUGGGUAUGGUGGUGGGCACCUGUAAUCCCAGCUACGUGGGAGGCUGAGACAGGAGAAUUGCUUGAACCUGGAAGUCAGAGGUUGCAGUGAGCUGAGAUCAUACCAUUGCACUCCAGCCUGAGUGACAGAGCAUGAAUCCAUCUCAAAAAAAAAAAAAAUUACCACCUUAACCAUUUUUUUUUUCAAAAGGACUUCACUCAUGGAAGAAAAACUUUACUUGCUGUUUCAAAAAAAUAUUUGUGUGAAGCAGAAAUUGGUUUCAAUAACAUUAGUAAAGAAUACAUCCUGGAAAAUAGAUAAAACUGGAUGUAAAAUUCUGGCAGCAAUUUAAUUGGACAGUCCCAGAUGGUUAGGCUGAGGAUAAAUGUCUUGUCUGUGGGGAAUUUUGGACGACACCUGGAGAAAGAUUACACUGCGCCUAAACCAAAUUGAGUUGCUUUCACAAGCCUUGUAAAAUUUCAUAUAGUAAAAGGUUUUUUCUAUAUGCACUUCAAUUUCAUAGCAAGAAUGGCAAAGAAUACCUAAAUGCAGAAGAGAGCAUUCAUGCAAUAUAUCUAACUACUUGAUAUAAUAACACAUACAAUUCAAAAAUGAUUACACUCUCAUUAUAUCUAGGGUUUCUGAAACUACAAGGUAGUAGUUAUGGAAAGCAUGGCCCCUGGUUUCAACAUCUAAAAA
rnacentral:lncRNA from 10 species